rnacentral:rRNA from 1 species
UAUCGCUUUACGAUGGGUCUGCGUCUGAUUAGCUAGUUGGUGGGGUAACGGCCUACCAAGGCGACGAUCAGUAGCCGGUCUGAGAGGAUGAACGGCCACAUUGGAACUGAGACACGGUCCAGACUCCUACGGGAGGCAGCAGUGGGGAAUCUUCCGCAAUGGGCGCAAGCCUGACGGAGCAACGCCGCGUGAGUGAAGAAGGGUUUCGACUCGUAAAGCUCUGUUGUCGGGGACGAAUGUGGAGAUGGUGAAUAACCAUUUUCAAUGACGGUACCUGACGAGGAAGCCACGGCUAACUACGUGCCAGCAGCCGCGGUAAUACGUAGGUGGCGAGCGUUGUCCGGAAUUAUUGGGCGUAAAGGGAGCGCAGGCGGGAAGGUAAGUCUAUCUUAAAAGUGCGGGGCUCAACCCCGUGAGGGGAUGGAAACUGUCUUUCUUGAGUGCAGGAGAGGAAAGCGGAAUUCCUAGUGUAGCGGUGAAAUGCGUAGAUAUUANGAGGAACACCAGUGGCGAAGGCGGCUUUCUGGACUGUAACUGACNCUGAGGCUCGAAAGCGUGGGGAGCGAACAGGAUUANAUACCCUGGUAGUCCACGCCGUAAACGAUGAAUGCUAGGUGUAGG